rnacentral:rRNA from 1 species
CAAGUCGGAACGUCCCGCAAGGGACGUGGCGCAAGGGUGAGUAAGGCGACGGUAACCAACCGAAAGGGACGGGCAUAGUCAGGGGAAACCCUGGGUAAUUCCCGGCGACGUCGCGGCCUGGCAUCGGGCUGCGACCAAAGGUGCGAUUCCGCCCUUCGACGGGCCGUCGUGGUAUCAGGUUGUUGGUGGGGUGACGGCCCACCAAGCCGAGGACGCCUACCGGGCGUGCGAGCGUGGCCCGGCACACUGGGACUGAGACACUGCCCAGACUCCUACGGGAGGCUGCAGUCGAGAAUCUUCGGCAAUGGGCGCAAGCCUGACCGAGCGACGCCGCGUGGAGGACUAAGGCCUUCGGGUUGUAAACUCCUGUCGAGGGGGAACAAGGGGGCGUGAAGAACGUCUCUUGAGUGAUCCCUGGAGGAAGCACGGGCUAAGUUCGUGCCAGCAGCCGCGGUAAGACGAACCGUGCGAACGUUAUUCGGAAUCACUGGGCUUAAAGCGCGUGUAGGCGGGCCGGCACGUCGAUGGCUGAAAUCCCCCGGCUCAACCGGGGAAGUGGCCUCGAUACGACCGGCCUGAGGGGGGUAGGGGGC